CUACAGUUCAAGCUCUGCAAGGUUAGGACUGUGCAAUGUGGACAGAAGGGCAUCCCUUCCCUCAAUACCUACGACAGCCGCACCAUCCGCUAGCCUGACCCUGCCAUCAAACCCAACGACACCAUCAAGAUUGACCUGGAGACCAACAAGAUUGUGGAUUUCAUCAAGUUUGAGGUCGGGAAUUUUGUGAUGGUGACCGGAGGCAGGAACACCGGGCGCAUCGGGGUGAUCAAGAGCAUGAGCAGGGAGACGCACGAGGGCAGCUUUGAGACCAUCCACGUCGAGGAUGCCCUCGAGCAUCAGUUCGCCACCCGCCUGGCCAAUGUCUUCACCAUCGGCAAGGACAGGAAGGCAUGGGUCUCUCUUCCCAAGGGCAAGGGCGUCAAGCUCACCAUCAUCAAAGAGGCGAGGAAGCAAAUUGUCGUGGCUGCUGCUGAGGCUUGA
rnacentral:rRNA from 1 species